rnacentral:rRNA from 1 species
UGACGUCAAGUCCUCAUGGCCCUUAUGGGUAGGGCUUCACACGUCAUACAAUGGUCGGUACAGAGGGUUGCCAACCCGCGAGGGGGAGCUAAUCCCACAAAGCCGAUCGUAGUCCGGAUCGCAGUCUGCAACUCGACUGCGUGAAGUCGGAAUCGCUAGUAAUCGUGGAUCAGCAUGUCACGGUGAAUACGUUCCCGGGUCUU